CGGAUCUAUUUCCGUAUGAAAAAAGCCAAAAAGAAUAAACUGUAACGGAGCCAAAAAGCUAAACUUAACAUUAGUCGUAUCUUUUCACUCUAGCGGACAGCAAGUGCAUCGUCGGGGCCAAAAAUAUUUUUUUUCAAAACUGGCGCUCGCAAAUCACGCAGGAAGCGCGCCGCGUGGUUCUUAUCGAAAAUUGUCGUCUCAAACAUUGCCGAUCAGUUUCACAUCAGGGAUUUUAUUCUUCAUGAAGCUGGGAUUUGAUGAGUUGGACUGUCUAAGUGCGAGUGGUUCUGCUGAAAGUCGGUCUAGAAAGUGUUAAAACACUUACCUUAAACACUCCGAUGAAUGGUUUGAGUGGUCGAUUACCUUAAUGAUUUCCGUUGCUCGCCGAAGUGAUGUAGAUAGUUUGUGGACAAUACUUUUGGUGAAACCACAAGUGAAUAUGGGUAUGGAGACCAACAGCAAAAUUGUCACCAGAUCGAAAACAAUCACCGUGCCGAUCUACACAUCCAUUGAGAGAGAUUUGAAUUCGCGCUCAAUUAUAAAAUCAGCGAUUUCAUUUUCCACGUUCAAAACUUCAGCAAGAAAGUUAAUAUUUCUCUUUAUAUGUGCGAGAAGGAAGGAUCGGCCUCGCCGUAUAUUUUUAAUCCAGCCGCUAUAAAUAUGAAAUAUCGUAGAUCUUCUGGAGGUUUUUAAUACGCAUUGCAGUUGGGUAUACAAAGUGGCUUAUUAACAAAUUGCGCCGCUAACAAGCCAGAUUUUAGGUUUUUUUAAUUAAUGGUCAGUAAUUUGGAUCGGAUUUUCAUAUAACGCAGAUGGCACAUACAAGACGAUAAGAUUAAGUCAGAAUUUUACAUAAGUAUUAAGAAAUAUUUUGCAUACCGUAAUGAGAUUGUUCGUGUUGAAAAACUCGAAAAUAUGCUCUAGCUGGAGUUUUACAGCUGACAAAAUAAUAAAGUAUUCGAAAACGUGAA